AUGUACCUGCCUUGUUAGUGAGAAGAGAGAAAAACUUGUUCCGACAAUUGGAUAAUUUAGGGGGCCGGCGUAAAGCAUGUGUUGUGCAGCCCGAAGGGGAAAUGCCUGAUCAUGCUCUCAAGGCGCCCACCUGUGAAAACAGGGAUACAAGUUUUUCUCUUAACACGGCAAGGUGGGUUCCUU
rnacentral:other from 1 species